rnacentral:rRNA from 1 species
GACGAACGCUGGCGGCGUGCUUAACACAUGCCAGUCGAACGCUGAAGCUCAGCUUGCUGGGUGGAUGAGUGGCGAACGGGUGAGUAACACGUGAGUAACCUGCCCUCUUCUUUGGGAUAACGCCCGGAAACGGGUGCUAAUACUGGAUAUUCACUGAUUCUCGCAUGGGGGUUGGUGGAAAGGUUUUUUCUGGUGGGGGAUGGGCUCGCGGCCUAUCAGCUUGUUGGUGGGGUGAUGGCCUACCAAGGCUUUGACGGGUAGCCGGCCUGAGAGGGUGACCGGUCACAUUGGGACUGAGAUACGGCCCAGACGCCUACGGGAGGCAGCAGUGGGGAAUAUUGCACAAUGGGCGAAAGCCUGAUGCAGCGACGCCGCGUGAGGGAUGGAGGCCUUCGGGUUGUAAACCUCUUUCGCUCAUGGUCAAGCCGCAGCGUUGGGUUGUGGUGAGGGUAGUGGGUAAAGAAGCGCCGGCUAACUACGUG